GACGAACGCUGGCGGCGUGCCUAAUACAUGCAAGUAGAACGCUGAAGCUUGGUGCUUGCACCGAGCGGAUGAGUUGCGAACGGGUGAGUAACGCGUAGGUAACCUGCCUGGUAGCGGGGGAUAACUAUUGGAAACGAUAGCUAAUACCGCAUAACAGUAGAUAUCGCAUGAUAGCUACUUGAAAGGUGCAAAUGCACCACUACCAGAUGGACCUGCGUUGUAUUAGCUAGUUGGUGAGGUAACGGCUCACCAAGGCAACGAUACAUAGCCGACCUGAGAGGGGAAUCGGCCAAAGUGGAGCGGGAACACGGCCCAGACUCCAAGGGGAGGCAGGAGGAGGGAAGUGUGGGAAAGGGAGGGAAGUCUGACCGGGAAACGCCGCGUGAAGAAAGAAGGUUUUGGGAGAGAAAAGCUCUUUUGUAAGAAAAAAAAGAGUGGGGGAGUGGAAAGUUCGCAUGGGGACGGUAUCUAAACGGAAAGGGAGGGCAAACACC
rnacentral:rRNA from 1 species